rnacentral:rRNA from 1 species
CGCGUAGGUGGUUUAUCAAGUCAUUUGUGAAAACUUUAGGCUUAACUUAAAGAUUGCAAGUGAUACUGGUAAACUUGAGUACAGUAGAGGAAAGUGGAAUUCCUGGUGUAGCGGUGAAAUGCGCAGAUAUCAGGAAGAACACCAGUGGCGAAAGCGGCUUUCUGGGCUGUUACUGACACUGAGGCGCGAAAGCUAGGGGAGCGAACAGGAUUAGAUACCCUGGUAGUCCUAGCUGUAAACGAUGGACACUAGGUGUGGGAAGGUUAUCGACGCUUUCUGUGCCGAAGCUAACGCAUUAAGUGUCCCGCCUGGGGAGUACGGCCGCAGGCUAA